GGGGCUGAUUCUGGAUUCGACGGGAUUUGCGAAACCCAAGGUGCAUGCCGAGGGGCGGUUGGCCUCGUAAAAAGCCGCAAAAAAUAGUCGCAAACGACGAAAACUACGCUUUAGCAGCUUAAUAACCUGCUUAGAGCCCUCUCUCCCUAGCCUCCGCUCUUAGGACGGGGAUCAAGAGAGGUCAAACCCAAAAGAGAUCGCGUGGAAGCCCUGCCUGGGGUUGAAGCGUUAAAACUUAAUCAGGCUAGUUUGUUAGUGGCGUGUCCGUCCGCAGCUGGCAAGCGAAUAUAAAGACUGACUAAGCAUGUAGUACCGAGGAUGUAGGAAUUUCGGACGCGGGUUCAACUCCCGCCAGCUCCACC
rnacentral:tmRNA from 2 species